UGGGAAUUUUGGACAAUGGGCGCAAGCCUGAUCCAGCCAUGCCGCGUGCGGGAAGAAGGCCUUCGGGUUGUAAACCGCUUUUGUCAGGGAAGAAAUCUUCUGAGUUAAUACCUCGGGAGGAUGACGGUACCUGAAGAAUAAGCACCAGCUAACUACGUGCCAGCAGCCGCGGUAAUACGUAGGGUGCAAGCGUUAAUCGGAAUUACUGGGCGUAAAGCGUGCGCAGGCGGUUUUGUAAGACAGAGGUGAAAUCCCCGGGCUCAACCUGGGAACUGCCUUUGUGACUGCAAGGCUUGAGUGCGGCAGAGGGGGAUGGAAUUCCGCGUGUAGCAGUGAAAUGCGUAGAUAUGCGGAGGAACACCGAUGGCGAAGGCAAUCCCCUGGGCCUGCACUGACGCUCAUGCACGAAAGCGUGGGGAGCAAACAGGAUUAGAUACCCUGGUAGUCCACGCCCUAAACGAUGUCAACUGGUUGUUGGGAAGGUUCCUUCUCAGUAACGUAGCUAACGCGUGAAGUUGACCGCCUGGGGAGUACGGCCGCAAGGUUGAAACUUAAAUGAAUUGACGGGGUCAUAGC
rnacentral:rRNA from 1 species